UCAUCAUUGCUGAAUCUUCAUUGCUGAUG
rnacentral:piRNA from 1 species